rnacentral:rRNA from 1 species
AGACCCGAAACCCGGUGAUCUAGCCAUGGGCAGGUUGAAGGUUGGGUAACACUAACUGGAGGACCGAACCGACUAAUGUUGAAAAAUUAGCGGAUGACCUGUGGCUGGGGGUGAAAGGCCAAUCAAACCGGGAGAUAGCUGGUUCUCCCCGAAAGCUAUUUAGGUAGCGCCUCGUGAAUUCAUCUCCGGGGGUAGAGCACUGUUUCGGCUAGGGGGCCAUCCCGGCUUACCAACCCGAUGCAAACUGCGAAUACCGGAGAAUGUUAUCACGGGAGACACACGGCGGGUGCUAACGUCCGUCGUGAAGAGGGAAACAACCCAGACCGCCAGCUAAGGUCCCAAAGUCAUGGUUAAGUGGGAAACGAUGUGGGAAGGCCCAGACAGCCAGGAUGUUGGCUUAGAAGCAGCCAUCAUUUAAAGAAAGCGUAAUAGCUCACUGGUCGAGUCGGCCUGCGCGGAAGAUGUAACGGGGCUAAACCAUGCACCGAAGCUGCGGCAGCGACGCUGAUGCGUUGUUGGGUAGGGGAGCGUUCUGUAAGCCUGCGAAGGUGGCCUGUGAGGGUUGCUGGAGGUAUCAGAAGUGCGAAUGCUGACAUA